AGGACUAAAGGACUGUCCUUCAAAUUCAUAAACAAGGACGACUGCUGACCGGGGCAGGCUAUUAGACUUCUGGAUUUCUUGAAUUCUUCCGUGAACAGAAGAAGAAUAAUCAAGAAGAACUCACCUUGGGAUUUGAAGAGGGGAAUGAGGAGCAAUUCUAAAGUGUCCCUGUCUUGUGACCGUGUCACGUUCUCAGGGAAAUGAACAUAUGGGAGGCUACAGGAUAUCCUAGCAAAAGAGGCAGCAGCCUUCUGACUCUUGAGAAGAGUUCUGUGCUCUUCCAGCACAUGCCCCAUUGAUGAGAGGGCUCCACUAGCACCCUGAUUUUUUCUGGAGCGUUC